GUUUGAAGGGAGUUGGACAAGACUAGGCAAUUGAGAACCAGAGAGGACGCGAGAGACUGGGAAACUAGGAAACUGGAAAGUGAAACUGGGGCGGCGUCAUAUUUUUAUUCGAGAAGUUACAUUCUAGUACGUAAUAGGUUAUAAAGGAGAGAUAGUUCACUGUUUCAUUAGCGCAUAUUCCUGCAUAGAAAAGCAUAAUAUAGACUCGUUUCGUCGCGAGGCACCGGGACUGUCAGACUUGAAGGAUAGUUAAGGUGUGGCUGUCUUUGAAAUGUUUUUUUUAUUACUAUCCUCUCGCUUUGUCAGCAUUAUAAGGAUCUUAAAACCUUACAAAAUUCUCGAUUUCAAAGGGGCGGGUGAUAAUGCAUGUCGUUUUUUAACCUGACCUUUUCGUUAAGAUGACAUGAAUCAUAGUUUGUCAAGACCACUUCGAAAUGCGUAGUGCCCACUUAAUUAUAAACACCCAAACGUUUGUUUUGACAAUUAGUUCAUUUAAAAGUAUGUUGGCGUAGGCUAUUUAAUGAAAUGGUGGUUGCAACUUUAUAGUAGGAAAACCAGAUGAAUAGAAAGUCAACGGGGCCAUGGGCGUGGAGACGGAGGCUGGACAGUAGCCUAAUGUUCGGUACCGUAGAGACGAUAGUCGUAUAGUCUGUAGAGCAUUUAUCGCCUGAUCGAUAAGCAAACAAAAUUAUGACAAAUUGAUUAACCUGAUGCUACAUUCUAAGUUAAAACGAGGGAACAGAAGAUUGUCUUUACAACAUAAAGUAAGUUCAUAGGCCUAUAGACAAAUUUAGAAAACGUAGAAUUACCCAAUUUAAGGAUAAACUUCACUGAUAUCAAAAUCUACAUAAUUAGGCUACAUAAUUCAACAGUGGAUGUAAGGAUGCGACUUUCGACCGACUGGUUAUUUUAUUGAAAUGAAAUAUUCUUAGUCUAGGCAAUUAAAUAGUUAAAUUAGAGUGUCGGUCUUUCGCUGACUAUUUUAGACUUUUACGCUAGUCCAUAGUUUGCGAUUUUAACGAGUUUAGGGCCAAUCUUUCAUCUUGUCUGUAGACGUUUUUCAUUCUUAGGUUGUUCACUUAGAUUUGUUUUAGGAACUAUUCUCGUGUAAUCGUAGCCACCUUGUCGACGUUAACUAGGAUUUCACACGUAGCCUAGCUAACAAUCAUUUAAACAAUCUAGGUUUUGUGUAUUGUCAAUGUAAACUUUAGGCUAUUAACUCUAUAGGCUAUGUAAUAUAAACGUCUAUUAAAAGCGAAGGCGAAAGAUGACAUUAGGCUAUUAUCAUUUCUAGCUUAGGGUUCGCUGUAUCUUACUGAUUUUGCAACACUAAAAUCCUCUUGUUUAUAUAUUCUAGUUUGACCAAAUGUUUGACCAAAAUGAAAGAAUUGAACGCAAAUUCCAUGAAGCCGCACCCAUAAAGCGCAACAUGGAUGAUGCACGGUUUUCCUGUAGGGCCUAAAUGCUUCCACUCUUUUCGCGUCUUGAAGUUUUCAUGUUUAAAGUCGGCCUAAACAAUUGCACAACCAGUGUCAAGUUGGCAACAGGUCAUUAGCAAGAUCGAAGCAAGCUCCAAUGUUUCAUCGAUGUCUCCUCUGAUAAAGAUAUUAGCCAGGAUGGACAUGUCACAUGCGGAGGCCUGGUGUUGUGAUCCUGCCUCGGACCGAAGAAGAAGAGGGCUUGUGUGCGUGCGCCCACACUGUGCUCACUGGCUGACCCGCAGGAGUUCUUCACUGGCAAGCUUUAUGUCCUUGUGUACCAACUAAAGCUGCCAGCUGAAGAACUGUUGUGGUUGGCUCUUUCCUGCUCUUGCACCCUACACUGAAGAAGACUCCUCCCACCUAAAGGAGGCGUGCAUGUUGGCAUCUGUGGUCCUGUGCUUAUGUGAUGGAGUCCAUACCAAGGGGAUGGUCACUUCCCUAUGCAGGUGCCUUCCUGUUCACAUUGAACAUGUGAAAUGGAACCAAAUCCAACUGGAGCUGAAAUAUAAUGUCGGUACAACAGCAGGGCUUAGUGAGCUCGUCGACACACAUGCUCACACAGGUGCCUGAGAGCUGUGGCUGCAUAAGGGCUGACACGUUUUGAUUGGGUCUGAAUUGUGUUGCUUAAAAGUUUACUAUAUUUUAUUUUGUGCUGUAUUGCACGUAAUGUGUGCGAGCAGCACAUGAUAUAGGCAUUGGCCAGACACAACUUUUGGAUUGUCCUCUCGUCUGUUAGUGAGGUACCUGAUAUCUGUGGCCGUGUAAGGGCCGAUACAUUUUGUAUUCCGUGUCUCUUUGCAUAGAAAAAAAUAAAUCACUAAGCAAACCUUCA